rnacentral:rRNA from 1 species
GUAGGCGGCAAGCGUUGUCCGGAAUUAUUGGGCGUAAAGCGCGCGCAGGCGGUCCUUUAAGUCUGAUGUGAAAGCCCACGGCUCAACCGUGGAGGGUCAUUGGAAACUGGGGGACUUGAGUACAGAAGAGGAAAGCGGAAUUCCAAGUGUAGCGGUGAAAUGCGUAGAGAUUUGGAGGAACACCAGUGGCGAAGGCGGCUUUCUGGUCUGUAAAUGACGCUGAGGCGCGAAAGCGUGGGGAGCAAACAGGGAUUAGAUACCCUGGUAGUCCACGCCGUAAACGAUGAGUGCUAAGUGUUAGGGGGUUUCCCGCCCCUUAGUGCUGCAGCUAACGCAUUAAGCACUCCGCCUGGGGAGUACGGCCGCAAGGCUG